GUUUAUAUCAGCAAUUAUUCAUGCAAUUGAACUUCGGUUUGCUGGUGACCUUUACCUCUUUCAGGGGAGCCACUUCAUGAGCUUUAAGAACUGGCCAACAUGUAUCGAUAACGAACCAGACUUUGGAGAUGAAGCAGUUGCAAAAAUUGCUAGGAUCUGUGAACCCGCAUUGGUUGCACAGAAUGAGGAAAUCGACAUAGCAUCAAUAGAAAUUGAAUGGGUGCGAUUCAAGAGAGAAAUUUAUAACAGGAAGCAUUGUGAUGAUUAUGUUAGAAAGAUGUCUUGGUGUGAGCAGUGGGAGAAGCAUGAGAAGUACCCAGGUCUAUUCAGUCUAGUCAAUCUUCUACUGUCAAUCCCCUCUAGCUCGGUGGAUGCUGACCGAUGAUUUUCUAGAGUCUGAAAGUGUGGGGAAGUAUGACCCAAUAGAUGCAGUGAAUUGGUGGAACUUUGCUGGGAAAAGGUCACGAAGUCCAUACUACAAUGAUAAAAAAGCAUGCCGUAAUUCAUGAGUACGUGUGUGAUGCAGCAAAAGAGGAUGUCUUCAUGGUUGCUGAAAUUAUUUAGGAGGAUGAAAUGCAACAUGAGCAGGAACCCAGUACAGAGGACUCCGAGCCUGAAGAUUGUGACUGUGACUUUUACGGACAGGAUUUAACUUUGUUACAAAACAGAGCAUAUAAGCUGA